GACGUAGGGUCCAAGCGUUGUCCGGAUUUACUGGGCGUAAAGAGCGCGUAGGCGGCUCGUUAAGUGUGAAGUGAAAUCUCUAGGGCUCAACCCAGAAAUUGCUUUACAUACUGGCGAGCUAGAGGGAUGCAGAGGUUUGUGGAAUUCCUGGUGUAGCGGUGAAAUGCGUAGAUAUCGGGAGGAACACCAGUGGCGAAGGCGGCUACCUGGACCAGCACUGACACUGAAGCACGAAAGCGUGGGGAGCAAACAGG
rnacentral:rRNA from 1 species